rnacentral:tRNA from 2 species
GGAGAGAUGGCCGAGCGGUUGAAGGCGCCUGACUCGAAAUCAGGUUUGGGGGUGACCUCAACGGGGGUUCGAAUCCCUCUCUCUCCGCCA